UGAACACCUGCAAACCCAGCCCAGGGUGGAUGUUUGGAUGCUGAACAAAACAGCUGUUGCAUUUCAGGCUUGUUCUCUUGGGGAGGCUGGGGGGAGAGUAGUGGAAAAAUACCUAUAUGCCCAAAUGCCGUAAUUUUCCCUUUUUGAGGUUUAUUCCGUGCAUUCUCUUCCAGUGUGCUGCCUGUCAGCUGAUGGAGGGAUGGCCCCAGCAGUUAUCUGGAGAUUACACAAUCUGGCUCUGUCUGAAAGGACAGUUUGGUUUGGUUGGUGCACUUCUGGAUGAGUGUGAGCUGGGAGCUGGCAGGCAGCACUUUGGCAGUUUUACCCCAGAGGUGGACUGGACCCACUCUGCUCCCACAGUUCAUUACCAGAAUUUUCUGCACUUCAGUGCAAAUGACAUCGUGUCUGGUUAUUACCUUUAA
rnacentral:lncRNA from 1 species